GUGGGGAAUAUUGGACAAUGGGCGAAAGCCUGAUCCAGCCAUGCCGCGUGUGUGAAGAAGGCCUUUUGGUUGUAAAGCACUUUAAGCGAGGAGGAGGCUACCGAGAUUAAUACUCUUGGAUAGUGGACGUUACUCGCAGAAUAAGCACCGGCUAACUCUGUGCCAGCAGCCGCGGUAAUACAGAGGGUGCAAGCGUUAAUCGGAUUUACUGGGCGUAAAGCGCACGGAGGUGGCCAAUUAAGUAAAAUGUGAAAUCCCCGAGCUUAACUUGGGAAUUGCAUUCGAUACUGGUUAGCUAGAGUAUGGGAGAGGAUGGUAGAAGUCCAGGUGUAGCGGUGAAAUGCGUAGAGAUCUGGAGGAAUACCGAUGGCGAAGGCAGCCAUCUGGCCUAAUACUGACACUGAGGUGCGAAAGCAUGGGGAGCAAACAGGAUUAGAAACCCCAGUAGUCC
rnacentral:rRNA from 1 species